CAGGCAUUCAUUGAUUUAACAAAUAUUUAGUGGAUAUUCUACUAAAUAUUACUAAAUAUUUACUGUUCUUCACCUCUCAUAGUUUUAGGCACUGGUGAUAGAGCAGUGAACAAAGCAGUUUCUGCCCUCAUGGAGCUUACAUCCUAAUGAGAGAGCCUGAUAACAAGCAAGGUUGACAAUAGGAAUGAUGUCUUUGAAAGAAGCUCUUUUUUUGGAGAAAUCUCUGAAUCUGGGCCUAGGGUCAGUACUCAGGGAGAACCCAAUCAAAAGCAACUACAGUAGGAUGGACUGAAGAGUCUCUUGAGGCAUGGUAGCUGAAAUACAACAUCAUAAUUUUUACUGGAAAAUAGCCACAAUGAAGGAACACCACAAUUUCACCAUGAAAACCAGCACAACCUUACACAGAUGACAAACAUUUCCCCUCAAAACUUGUUAAACUGUAUUUGGGCUGACCAAAUUAACCAGAGUUAUUCUAUUUAUGGGGGAGCAGGAAGUAACUUGAUAAAAUGCUUUGAGUUUAUAUAUCAUGUCAAAUAAAUAGCAUAAUUUUAAAGGAAAAAAACUUGUUAGGCAAUGUUCUCUUAUUUUCUGACAUCACAUAUUGUGACAGAAUGUAAGGCCAACCUGGUUUUUACAAAUUCCGUGGUCUAAUUUUUUUGUUGUUGUUAGUGUAUAAAAAUAGCA
rnacentral:lncRNA from 1 species